UGCUGAAGCCUGCUCUGCCUUUCUGUCCCGUUUCUCUUCUUCCUUUCUACAUUAUCCUUCUCCUUUUCCUUCUUUUCCUGAGAUAGGAGGAUGCACAACUAAUUUGGUCUUUUUCAGAAGCCCUAUCUGCUGAGAAGCAAACAUUUCAAUUUUAAAGGUUAGAGUGAGGGGCCUGGGGUGAGCUCGGCAACAGAGGCCUUUCCUAGCAUGCACCAGGCCCUGAGCAUCAUCUCCAGCACACACACCAUCCAAGGAAAAAAGCAAAACAGCCCGGUGUGUAAACUGCUUAACCUCCUCGGAGAGCCGCUGAGAUGGGAGCAGCAUCGGCCAUUUCCAAG
rnacentral:lncRNA from 1 species